CCUACCCCUACUGCAGCUCUGCAAUUGAAGUGUAUUAGGAGCCAGGCAGUCAUGCAGCCAGGCUCAGUUCCAACUCAUGCCGAGUCCAGGAGCUCAGAUGCUGACCCCACCAUAUCCCAAGUGAUUGUUCUAAAAGGGGAGGUAUGCAUUACCACCUUCAGUUCUUCUUCCUCCAUCCAGGAAUUUGGUACUCUUCAUGGUCUGCUAGAUUGGGUCCAGCAUGUGACAUGUCUGUGUGCCUAUCUUACCCUGGAUUGUGAAUCACUGUGGGAGACAGGUGUCCAGACUCCUAGCACAAGGCAGCAGUGGACUGCCCAGAGGCAGAAAACUUUUAACCUGAAAACUUAGGUGGCAAGCAAGGUGACCACAGGGUUUGGCAGCAGUUUUGUGGAUUACAGUGGUGCCAAAAACUGGAAUUUAGGUGUCUAAUCAUCUGUGGAUCCCACUUUCAUAACCUAAGAAAAGGCAGUUUAAGCCUCAGUACAAUGUCUUUCUCCUGAAAUGGCCUCAUCCAUGCUGCAUUACCUUUCUCACACUGUACACAUAAGGUCAUGCCAUAUAGAAUUUUGCUUUUCAAGAUAGUCUUCCACCCAGCAUGACACAUUGUAGAGGGUAUGACAUUUUGUAGAGCACCAUUUUGUAGUUUGGGAGCUGCUCUAGAAAAUGAAAUGUUCACUAACUAUUACUUGAAUGUUUUUUGUUUGCUCCAAGGGUCACUUUCCUUACCCAGAUGCCUCAAAAUGGACAGAUGAGGAAUUGGGGAUCCCUCCUGAUGAAGAAUAGAUAUAUAGCUCCAGCUACCAAUGUGUCCUGUGGUGGGAUCUCUGAAGAAGUUGAGGCUUUGGCUCUUGCAUUAUUGUGUUUUGGUAAAACCACACUGUAAAUAAAAAUCUCAAAAGUUACAA